CAUUGUUAAUGCCUAAAAAUAGCGCAACAGGCCAGAAGGGGAGAAAGAAUCAUUCCCGGCCCGUUGAGACUAUUCGGGCCUUGAUCGGUGUAGUGUGGAGCCCAUGGUAGUGGUCUGGUGCAGCUGUAUGAUAUCCAUGCAUA